rnacentral:siRNA from 1 species
AUAUAAUCGUGGUUACAUA